GCCCUGAUGGCUCAGUUGGCUAGAGCGCAGGUCUCAUACGUCUGUAUGACCAGGUCACAACUCCUGGGCAAUCCUGAGGUCGCAAGUUCGAGCCUUGCUCAGGGCA